GGAGAGGUAUUAGCAGUAGAAAGAGGGAAGUGCUCAUGCCAUUGUACAGAACACUGGUGAGACCUCACUUGGAGUAUUGUACGCAGUACUGGAGACCAUAUCUUCAGAAGGAUAUUGAUACCUUAGAGAGGGUUCAGAGAAGGGCUACUAAACUGGUUCAUAGAUUGCAGGAUAAAACUUACCAGGAAAGGUUAAAAGAUCUU